UUGAGCAAUCAACUCCAUUUUUAUGUAGUGGAAAUAUAUUCCAUAACUAAUAAGAAUGCAUAUAUAAGGUCUAUUAUUCCAUCGAUGUGAAUCUUAUCUUAAACAUCAUCUCCACGACACCCGCCAUUCACUCAUACUUAUAAUAUUUAUAUAUAGACUAAACCCGGAAAACCACCAAGGCUAAUCGAGCCUAGAGGGGAAAUAAAUAUAACCAUCAUCUCCAUUAGAUACUCCAAGAUCGAACAUCUAACGCUGCAUGCAUUUACACGGCCUCCAGGGUGCGACCCCAUCAUCGUGUCUUAGUAACCUUGUUCCAUAUCGCAGGAACAAUUCACGGUAAUGCGGAACUUUCGGGAGAGUGAGUAUACAAUAAGACUUCACAUGAUUU
rnacentral:lncRNA from 1 species